rnacentral:rRNA from 2 species
AAGUUUGAUCCUGGCUCAGGAUGAACGCUGGCGGCGUGCCUAAUACAUGCAAGUCGAACGAGUUCUCGUUGAUGAUCGGUGCUUGCACCGAGAUUCAACAUGGAACGAGUGGCGGACGGGUGAGUAACACGUGGGUAACCUGCCCUUAAGUGGGGGAUAACAUUUGGAAACAGAUGCUAAUACCGCAUAGAUCCAAGAACCGCAUGGUUCUUGGCUGAAAGAUGGCGUAAGCUAUCGCUUUUGGAUGGACCCGCGGCGUAUUAGCUAGUUGGUGAGGUAAUGGCUCACCAAGGCGAUGAUACGUAGCCGAACUGAGAGGUUGAUCGGCCACAUUGGGACUGAGACACGGCCCAAACUCCUACGGGAGGCAGCAGUAGGGAAUCUUCCACAAUGGACGCAAGUCUGAUGGAGCAACGCCGCGUGAGUGAAGAAGGCUUUCGGGUCGUAAAACUCUGUUGUUGGAGAAGAAUGGUCGGCAGAAGUAAACUGUUGUCGGCCGUGACGGUAUCCAACCAGAAAGCCACGGCUAACUACGUGCCAGCAGCCGCGGU